rnacentral:rRNA from 1 species
UACGUAGGGUGCGAGCGUUGUCCGGAAUUACUGGGCGUAAAGAGCUCGUAGGUGGUUUGUCGCGUUGUUCGUGAAAUCCCACGGCUUAACUGUGGGCGUGCGGGCGAUACGGGCAGACUGGAGUACUGCAGGGGAGACUGGAAUUCCUGGUGUAGCGGUGGAAUGCGCAGAUAUCAGGAGGAACACCGAUGGCGAAGGCAGGUCUCUGGGCAUUAACUGACGCUGAGGAGCGAAAGCAUGGGGAGCGAACAGG